GACGAACGCUGGCGGCGUGCUUAACACAUGCAAGUCGAACGGAAAGGCCCUGCUUUUGUGGGGUGCUCGAGUGGCGAACGGGUGAGUAACACGUGAGUAACCUGCCCUUGACUUUGGGAUAACUUCAGGAAACUGGGGCUAAUACCGGAUAGGAGCUCCUGCUGCAUGGUGGGGGUUGGAAAGUUUCGGCGGUUGGGGAUGGACUCGCGGCUUAUCAGCUUGUUGGUGGGGUAGUGGCUUACCAAGGCUUUGACGGGUAGCCGGCCUGGGAGGGUGACCAGCCUCAAUGGGACUGGGAUACGGACCAGACUCCUACGGGCGGCAGCAGUGGGAAAUAUUGCACAGUGGGCGGGAGCCUGUGGCAGCAACGCCGCGUGCGGGAUGACGGCCUUCGGGUUGUAAACCGCUUUCGCCUGUGACGAAGCGUGAGUGACGGUAACGGGUAAAGAAGCACCGGCUAACUACGUG
rnacentral:rRNA from 1 species